rnacentral:rRNA from 1 species
UGCUCCGGCCGCCUGGCGGCCGCGGGAUUCGAUUAGAGUUUGAUCCUGGCUCAGAUUGAACGCUGGCGGAAUGCUUUACACAUGCAAGUCGAACGGCAGCACGGGAGCUUGCUCCUGGUGGCGAGUGGCGAACGGGUGAGUAAUGCAUCGGAACGUGCCCAUUUGUGGGGGAUAACUAGUCGAAAGACUAGCUAAUACCGCAUAAGCUCGAGAGAGGAAAGCGGGGGAUCGAAAGACCUCGCGCAGAUGGAGCGGCCGAUGUCCGAUUAGCUAGUUGGUGAGGUAAAGGCUCACCAAGGCGACGAUCGGUAGCUGGUCUGAGAGGACGACCAGCCACACUGGGACUGAGACACGGCCCAGACUCCUACGGGAGGCAGCAGUGGGGAAUUUUGGACAAUGGGGGCAACCCUGAUCCAGCCAUUCCGCGUGUGGGAAGAAGGCCUUCGGGUUGUAAACCACUUUCGGACGGGAAGAAAUCGACGUGACAAAUAAUCGUGUCGGAUGACGGUACCGUAAGAAGAAGCACCGGCUAACUACGUGCCAGCAGCCGCGGUAAUACGUAGGGUGCGAGCGUUAAUCGGAAUUACUGGGCGUAAAGCGUGCGCAGGCGGUUAUGUAAGACAGAUGUGAAAUCCCCGGGCUUAACCUGGGAACUGCGUUUGUGACUGCAUAACUGGAGUACGGCAGAGGGGGGUGGAAUUCCUGGUGUAGCAGUGAAAUGCGUAGAUAUCAGGAGGAACACCGAUGGCGAAGGCAGCCCCCUGGGCCGAUACUGACGCUCAUGCACGAAAGCGUGGGGAGCAAACAGGAUUAGAUACCCUGGUAGUCCACGCCCUAAACGAUGUCGACUAGUUGUUCGGUGAGGAGACUCAUUGAGUAACGCAGCUAACGCGUGAAGUCGACCGUCUGGGGAGUACGGUCGCAAGAUUAAAACUCAAAGGAAUUGACGGGGACCCGCACAAGCGGGGGAUGAUGUGGAUUAAUUCGAUGCAACGCGAAAAAACUUACCUACCCUUUAAAUGGCCGGAACC